GCCCCCCCCCCCCCACACACACACACACACAAACAAAGAGGCGUUAGGCUGAGACGCUGAAAGUCCGGAUUUAAAGUGCAGAAAAUUAAGCCAUUGAAUCUGCCUGUCCAUGACGUAGUAAGACACACUAUGAGCCAGUAUGAUCCGACCAGACCUUACAUCAGCAUUGAGGAGUUGUCGGAGAAGAAAGAGGCUGAUUGAAGCGGGACAGAUGACAUGGAUCCAUCCUUCCACAGCCAGGAGUGCACCGACCUGUGUGCAACACUUCAUAUAAGACUGGAAGCUAAACUGGAUCUCACAGCUACACACCACAGACGUCUACACACUGGAGAAGAUUCAGACAGAGUCCCACAAAGAAGUCAUGACCCAGAGGCUGCAGAGACACAUUUCAAGCCUCACCUGAGUUUUUGUACAAUAUAUUUGCUGUAUGUAAAUAAAGCUUUGACUCCA